UACGGAGGGGGCUAGCGUUGUUCGGAAUUACUGGGCGUAAAGCGCACGUAGGCGGCUUUGUAAGUUAGAGGUGAAAGCCCGGGGCUCAACCCCGGAAUAGCCUUUAAGACUGCAUCGCUUGAACACGGGAGAGGUGAGUGGAAUUCCGAGUGUAGAGGUGAAAUUCGUAGAUAUUCGGAAGAACACCAGUGGCGAAAGGCGGCUCAC
rnacentral:rRNA from 1 species